rnacentral:tRNA from 1 species
UGGGGUGUAGCCAAGCGGUAAGGCACCGGGUUUUGGUCCCGGCAUUCGGAGGUUCGAAUCCUCCCACCCCAGCCA